rnacentral:lncRNA from 1 species
CUAAAUCUUUAUCCUAGGUAUGAAGGAGCUGGUCACUUUACUCCAAAAGCCAGAGCACUGUAAUCAGUCCAUUUACCAAGCAAGAACAUAAGGUAGGUGACCCUUUAACAAAAUUUACUCCUCUAGGUUUAUUAAAAAUUUACCCCAGUGAAGCAACAAGAAAGUUGUUGCAUUUUAUAGUUUAUUAUUUCAAAUGACAACUAAUUACUCAGGCCAAAGAGGCAGCCUUUGUGAAAAUAAUAAUACCUCAUGUUUGUACAGCGCUAUAAAACUUGCAUAAUACUUCAAAUACAUUCUCGUAUUUAACCAUAAAAAUCCCUGAAAGCAGCAGAAAAGAGGCUUUGGGAUGUCCUAAAUGGCCACAGCCAGUGACCAAGUGCUUGUUUUGCUUUGGCUGCACACCAUAGGAAAGGAAAGGGGUAAUCCCCUUUGCCACCCCAACCUCAAUGAGAUUUCCUCAGAUGUUUUCUCAGUUCCAAUAAGAGUUUACAACUCAAUACAAAUGAAACUGCUAAGAAAGGGAAAGGGACAGGUAGAGGCUUAAGCCACUUGAAAAAGUGGGAGAAACUGCUAAGUAGGCAGUUAAUAACUUUCACUAGGAUUUCCUACAAAGAGUGGUACAUUUUAGAAAAAGAAAGGGACUCAUUACAGUAUUUUAUGGAAUUUUAGAAUUGUUAUAUUAAGAAAUGUCAAACUCCGAAAAAACAAAGUGAAACAAGGUACCCCCAAGAACACUUGCUUUACUGUGUAGCUUUGUGCUUAUACCUGUCUUGGGAAUGCCUAUUAGAAACAUAUACCAACAAACACCUUAAUACUUUCCAUUGUGCAUGUAACUACAUUGUAAUUAUCCCUGAUGAGAUAAGAAUAUGUUUUGUUUUUUGUUUUUGUUUUGCCUAAAAGUAGGUAUCACCACAGGAAUCACACCUAUUAGAAAUAAUAAUAAUGAUAUGAGGAACGGUCUGUGUGCCUCCUUAUGUGUUAUUUAUGUGGGGUCACAGAUUCCCCAGGGUCUGUGCUGAAACCGUGCUGGCUUCAUUACAGUUUCGUAUAAAUCAAUGAAGGCAAGUCUCAGUUUUACCAGUGGUUAAGAGUCACUGGAAUUUUUCAAGAGAAACCUCUCAGGUAAUACAUUUUUAAAAAAC